GACGAACGCUGGCGGCGUGCUUAACACAUGCGAGUCGAACGGAAAGGCCCUGCUUUUGUGGGGUGCUCGAGUGGCGAACGGGUGAGUAACACGUGAGUAACCUGCCCUUGACUUUGGGAUAACUUCAGGAAACUGGGGCUAAUACCGGAUAGGAGCUCCUGCUGCAUGGUGGGGGUUGGAAAGUUUCGGCGGUUGGGGAUGGACUCGCGGCUUAUCAGCUUGUUGGUGGGGUAGUGGCUUACCAAGGCUUUGACGGGUAGCCGGCCUGAGAGGGUGACCGGCCACAUUGGGACUGAGAUACGGCCCAGACUCCUACGGGAGGCAGCAGUGGGGAAUAUUGCACAAUGGGCGGAAGCCUGAUGCAGCAACGCCGCGUGCGGGAUGACGGCCUUCGGGUUGUAAACCGCUUUCGCCUGUGACGAAGCGUGAGUGACGGUAAUGGGUAAAGAAGCACCGACUAACUACGUG
rnacentral:rRNA from 1 species